CAUCUUCCGACCUCUUGACUCAUCAUAUCUUCAUAAUGUUCAUGUCUUUAAAGAUCUCUAGCAUAUUUGGCCUGCCGGGUUUCUUUGGGUGACCCAUAGCCACUCUUUCCAGCAUUGUUUUUGCUCUCUUUGUUCUUUAAUCAGAUAAAGAACAGACAUACUUUGGUGGAACACCAAUGGAGGAGGAGGGGAAGGAGGUGAUGGUGCUAUAGUAACAGAUGUGGAAGUAUCUAAGUGACCUGAACUGGGACUCUUGCUCCUGGAGGGUCACAAUCUUAGCAAUCUGAGCUCUAAUGGCGGCAAGUUCAUUCCGGAUCUUCUGCAAGGCUUCCUUACUGGCCUCACUUUGGAGGAGGCUCAUCUUGAAACAAAUUCAGGCUGACCAUAUUCCUUCUGGACGUCCACACUUCCCCCCAUUGCCCUUGGAAGACCAUGCAAGUCAUCUGUAGAUGAGCCUUCAUCCUGCUGGCCUGAGAUGGCACCAGGUCACCUUGUGUGAUGUUUUGAGAGUUUUAACUCUUUUUCUCCUAAUUAAAUUUGGUAAAAAAUC
rnacentral:lncRNA from 1 species